rnacentral:lncRNA from 1 species
UUGGCUUUCUGCACCUGACGAGAACCACUAGGCCUAUCUGAGGAGGGAAAUAUAUGGGCUUUCCUGACUCCAAGUGGCAGCCCCGGGGCGAGCAUGUGAUGUCAAGCUGGGCAGAGGAAAGCGGAGCUGUGCACCGGCCUGUGUACUCAGAGCUCACCUGGAAUGCCUCUGGUUGCUGAAGGGCUGGAUGGAGACUCUGAGACAACCUGAUGGAUCAUCUCAUAAACAGAGCCUGCAGGAAGGAAAAGAAAAUUAUGCCAGCAUAAUGCACUUACGAGAAAUAGAUACGUGCGGUGCAGGGAGAAAUGCUUUGAUAUUAAAAUUUUUG